rnacentral:lncRNA from 1 species
AGCUUAAAGCAUCCGCUGCUUGAUUUUCGCUGCCCUUUUGAUGCUUCAAAACAAAAGAGUAGGCCUGUAAAUACUCGAUCCAACAACCAUGCCUAGCAUUCAAUCUCUUUUGGGAAUUAAGGUAGCGAAGUGCCUCAUGGUCCGAAUAAAGAACAAAUUCCUGGGGCUACAAGUAAUGACGUUAAUAGCGUAAAGCUUGUAUGACUGCAUACAACUCCUUGUUAUAAGUCGAGUACUGUCGUUUGGCAUCAUUUAAUUUUUCAUUGAAAUAAGCAAUAGGGUGGCGCUCUUGGCUCAAAACAACACCUAUCCCUACCCUAGAGGCAUCACAUUCUACCUCAAAAACUUUGGAAAAAUUGAGAAGUCGCAUGACUGGAGCUUCUGUCAUUUGCCUCUUAACCAACUUAAAUGCUUUGGCCGCUUCAUGCAACCAGUAAAAUUCCUCUCUUUUCAUGCACUCCGUAAUAAGAGUCAUGAUCAUGCUAAACCCUUUAAUGAAACGAUAAUAAAAGAUAGCUAAGCCAUGAAAACUCCGAGCGUCAUGUAUAGUCUUGAGCUCAGGCCAACCAACAAUGGCCUGAAUCUUUGUAGGGUCAGUAGACACUCCUGUCGUAGAGACAAUAAAACCUAGAAAGACAACUUUAUCUGUGAAGAAAGAACAUUGCUUCACAUUAACAUAGAGGCUUGCAGCACGAAGUGUAGAACAAACCUGCAUGAGAUGAUCUCUAUGUUGUUCCCUAGUUUUACUGUACACAAAAAUGUCAUCAAAUUAGACAACGAGAAAUUUACCCAUGAAUGGUCGCAAAGCUUGUGUCAUUACUCUCAUAAAAGUACUCGGGGCAUUAGUUAGCCCAAAAGGCAUGACCAAUAAAGAUCAUCCUUCGUUUUAAAAACAGUCUUCCAUUCGUCACCCGGGCGAAUCCUAAUUUGGUGGUACCCAUUCUUUAAAUCAAUCUUAGAAAAUAUCGUGGCACCGACCAUCACGUCCAACAUAUUAUCAAGCCUAAGGAUUGGAAAACGGUACUUCACUGUGAUCUUAUUGAUGACAAGACUAUCAACACACAUUCUCCAAGAACCAUCUUUC